AGCAGUAACAGGAUUUUGAAUCCGAGCAUUGAAUAGUCAACGCCAACGAAAAGCUAUCAGAAAAUCUACAAAAAUCAACGCCAAAGCUAUGGAUCGUCUACUGAUACUGGCUCUCAUAUUGGUUUUGAACUUUUUGAUGACAACAGAAGGUAAUUAUCCCUAUGCAAUAUCUGCACACGAUGAUCAAUAUAGAGAUUAUACUCAUGUGGGUGAUCCACCACCAGCACCCAUGGGAACCAAAAAGAUAGAUGCAACAAGAAGAUUCCUGUGGUAACGGCUUAUCAUCAACUACCACAACCAUAGAAUGUGGAUGUAUCCACAACUGGCAAUAGCAUAUAUCUGCAAUAAUGUUAUCUUUUUUGUUUUGGCAAUUAUAAAAUAAAUCCAUUAUUCUUGUAAA